GGGGCCGUAGCUCAAUUGGGAGAGCGCAUCGCUGGCAGCGAUGAGGUUAGGGGUUCGUCCGCGCGGACGGAACGGGUGAGACGCUUCGGAGGGUUGGCUUCAAGUGGGGGAGCACGGCGUUGAAUUCUACCGCUAAGGUUGUCAUCGUCGAGUAGGCAUCGUCAGCAAGUUGAAUCGGGAAUUCAACAUCCCCCUUGGCUCCA
rnacentral:tRNA from 1 species